GACGAACGCUGGCGGCGUGCCUAAUACAUGCAAGUCGAGCGAAGUUUUUCUGGUGCUUGCACCGGAAAAACUUAGCGGCGCACGGGUGAGUAACACGUAAAGAACCUGCCUCAUAGACUGGGACAACUAUUGGAAACGAUAGCUAAUACCGGAUAACAGCAUUAACUGCAUGGUUGAUGUUUAAAAGUUGGUUUUGCUAACACUAUGAGAUGGCUUUGCGGUGCAUUAGCUAGUUGGUGGGGUAAAGGCCUACCAAGGCGACGAUGCAUAGCCGACCUGAGAGGGUGAUCGGCCACACUGGGACUGAGACACGGCCCAGACUCCUGCGGGAGGCAGCAGUAGGGAAUCUUCCGCAAUGGGCGAAAGCCUGACGGAGCAACGCCGCGUGAGUGAAGAAGGAUUUCGGUUCGUAAAGCUCUGUUGUUAGGGAAGAAUGAGUGUGUAGUAACUAUACACAGUAGAGACGGUACCUAACCAGAAAGCCACGGCUAACUACGUG
rnacentral:rRNA from 1 species